rnacentral:misc_RNA from 1 species
AGUGAAGUAAUAAUAAUAAUAAUAGUAGUAGUAAUAAUAGUAAUAAUAAUAAUAAUAAUUAUAAUAGUAAGAGAAAGUAGAGGAGGGAAAAGGAGGGAGGAAAGGUGGAAAAACUUAGGAAAGGAAGGAAACUAUUCCACCUUCGAGCAUGGCCUCGGUGGCAGCAUGGCUGCCGUUCGCUCGUGCGGCGGCGAUUGGUUGGGUGCCGAUCGCCACACAUCCACUGCCACCGCCGCCGAUCCCCAAGGAUCGUCGCAAGGCCGACGACGAGAAAUUAUUGAUAAACGUGAGCGGCCGUCGCUUCGAGACAUGGCGGAACACCCUCGAGAAGUAUCCGGACACUCUUCUCGGUUCGAACGAGCGCGAGUUCUUUUACGACGAGGAGAGCAAAGAGUACUUCUUCGACCGUGAUCCAGACAUAUUCCGCCACAUAUUGAACUAUUACAGAACCGGAAAGCUUCAUUAUCCGAAGCACGAAUGCCUGACGAGCUACGACGAGGAGUUGGCGUUCUUCGGUAUAUUGCCGGACGUGAUCGGCGAUUGCUGUUACGAGGAUUAUCGGGACAGGAAACGCGAGAACGCGGAGCGUUUGAUGGACGACAAGCUGAGCGAGAACGGGGAUCAAACUCUUCAGCAGUUGCCGGACAUCAGGCAAAAGAUGUGGAGGGCAUUCCAGAAUCCACACAUCUCGACGGCGGCUUUGGUAUUUUAUUAUGUAACAGGAUUCUUCAUCGCCGUGAGCGUGCUGGCGAACGUGGUCGAGACCGUGCCGUGCGGUAAUCGUCCGGGACGCGCCGGUACGCUUUCAUGCGGCGAGCGUUACAAGAUCGUAUUCUUCUGCCUGGACACCGCGUGCGUAAUGAUAUUCACCGCGGAAUAUCUGUUGAGGCUGUUCGCGGCCCCGAGCCGGUGUAAGUUCGCGCGAUCCGUCAUGUCUAUCAUAGACGUGGUCGCAAUCCUCCCGUACUACAUCGGCCUCGGCAUCACCGACAACGACGACGUAUCCGGUGCUUUCGUUACGUUGCGCGUCUUCCGUGUGUUCCGGAUCUUCAAGUUCUCGAGGCACUCGCAAGGGCUCAGGAUCCUCGGUUACACGUUGAAAUCGUGCGCCUCGGAGCUCGGUUUCCUCGUCUUCUCCCUCGCAAUGGCGAUCAUCAUAUUCGCAACCGUGAUGUUCUACGCGGAGAAGAACGUCGAUGGAACGAACUUCACCUCGAUACCUGCCGCGUUCUGGUACACGAUCGUCACGAUGACCACAUUAGGGUACGGUGACAUGGUUCCGAAAACGAUCGCGGGAAAAAUCGUGGGGGGUGUAUGCUCUCUCAGCGGUGUCCUUGUGAUCGCUUUACCGGUGCCUGUUAUCGUCAGUAAUUUCAGCCGAAUAUAUCACCAGAAUCAGCGGGCCGAUAAGCGAAAGGCGCAGAGGAAAGCAAGAUUGGCACGGAUCAGGAUCGCGAAAGCGUCGAGCGGGGCGGCCUUCGUGAGCAAAAAGAAGGCGGCCGAGGCGCGUUUGGCCGCGCAGGAGAGCGGCCUUCAGCUGGACGACAAUUACAAGGAGGAGGAUAUCUUCGAACUGCAGCAUCAUCAUCUACUUCGUUGUUUAGAGAAGACCACGGAUCGCGAGUUCGUGGAGAUGGAGGUGCCCUACAACGGUGCCCCGAAGAGGCCGGGCUCGCCCUCGCCCCUCACCUCUCCCGCGCACAGCACUGCCUCGAGGGGCGGCCUGCUGCACGCCUGCUGCGGCCGCUGCUACCCCCAACGUUACCAGUAGGAAAAGAUAGAGACGGAUCGAUGGCGCCCCAAGUGGCAAGCGCCACGAUCUACGAUGAGAGAGAAAGAGAGAGAAAGAGAGAGAGAAAGAGAGUUAGAUCGGCCUACAAAGCGACGUUUUCAAGAUGAAAUAACCUCAAGUGGCGGCGCGUGUUAAACAGUCAAACGAAUCUUUACACCGUUUGAAUCUUUUCGAUUUUCCACGGAAUUUAGAAGCGAGAACAUUGACGCCAUUCACACUUAUUUUAACGCGUUUUUAUCAGAGAUCAAAGGGAAA